rnacentral:rRNA from 1 species
CAGUAGCCGCGGUAAUACGAAGGGUGCAAGCGUUGCUCGGAAUUACUGGGCGUAAAGGGAGCGUAGGCGGAUCGUUUAGUCAGGGGUGAAAUCCCGGGGCUCAACCUCGGAACUGCCUUUGAUACUGGCGAUCUUGAGUAUGGGAGAGGUGUGUGGAACUCCGAGUGUAGAGGUGAAAUUCGUAGAUAUUCGGAAGAACACCAGUGGCGAAGGCGACACACUGGCCCAUUACUGACGCUGAGGCUCGAAAGCGUGGGGAGCAAACAGGAUUAGAUACCCCGGUAGUCCCUGUCUCUUAUAC